AGUGGCCAUUUCUUGGAAGGAAGCAUCUGCCUGAUGCCAUUUGCUAUGGUAUCCUUGAUGAACAAUCACCACAACUUGCCUUCGAUGGUUUGAAUCUUCUCUGGCUGAAAAGACCGACAUUUGCUCCAUCUACGACUGCCUCAAAUGGUCCGUAGUAAUCCAGCCAUUUCUACAAAUGGACAAAAAGGCUGAACAACACCUACAGCAGCUGAAGAACAAAGAUACAAGAUGACACCAUAAUG